GAUGAACGCUGGCGGCGUGCCUAAUACAUGCAAGUCGAGCGAACGGACGAGAAGCUUGCUUUUCUGAUGUUAGCGGCGGACGGGUGAGUAACACGUGGAUAACCUACCUAUAAGACUGGGAUAACUUCGGGAAACCGGAGCUAAUACCGGAUAAUAUUUUGAACCGCAUGGUUCAAAAGUGAAAGACGGUCUUGCUGUCACUUAUAGAUGGAUCCGCGCUGCAUGAGCUAGUUGGUAAGGUAACGGCUUACCAAGGCAACGAUGCAUAGCCGACCUGAGAGGGUGAUCGGCCACACUGGAACUGAGACACGGUCCAGGCUCCUACGGGAGGCAGCAGUAGGGAAUCUUCGGCAAUGGGCGAAAGCCUGACGGAGCAACGCCGCGUGAGUGAUGAAGGUCUUCGGAUCGUAAAACUCUGUUAUUAGGGAAGAACAUAUGUGUAAGUAACUGUGCACAUCUUGACGGUACCUAAUCAGAAAGCCACGGCUAACUACGUG
rnacentral:rRNA from 1 species